rnacentral:rRNA from 1 species
UACGUAGGGUGCGAGCGUUGUCCGGAAUUAUUGGGCGUAAAGAGCUCGUAGGCGGUGUGUCACGUCGGCCGUGAAAACCUGCAGCUUAACUGUGGGCGUGCGGUCGAUACGGGCAUCACUGGAGUUCGGCAGGGGAGACUGGAAUUCCUGGUGUAGCGGUGGAAUGCGCAGAUAUCAGGAGGAACACCGGUGGCGAAGGCGGGUCUCUGGGCAGUAACUGACGCUGAGGAGCGAAAAGCGUGGGGGAGCGAACAGG